GACAAGAUGGCCGAGCGGUCUAAGGCGUGUGACUCAAGCGACAGCUUGCCUGAUUUGUUAGGGCAUUCACAUGGGCGUUGCCCUCGUGGGUUCGAAUCCCACUCUUGUCA